GACGAACGCUGGCGGCGUGCUUAACACAUGUAAGUCGAACGGAAAGGCCCUGCUUUUGUGGGGUGCUCGAGUGGCGAACGGGUGAGUAACACGUGAGUAACCUGCCCUUGACUUUGGGAUAACUUCAGGAAACUGGGGCUAAUACCGGAUAGGAGCUCCUGCUGCAUGGUGGGGGUUGGAAAGUUUCGGCGGUUGGGGAUGGACUCGCGGCUUAUCAGCUUGUUGGUGGGGUAGUGGCUUACCAAGGCUUUGACGGGUAGCCGGCCUGGGAGGGUGACCGGCCACAUUGGGACUGAGGUACGGCCCAGACUCCUACGGGAGGCAGCAGUGGGGAAUAUUGCACAAUGGGCGGAAGCCUGAUGCAGCAACGCCGCGUGCGGGAUGACGUCCUUCGGGUUGUAAACCGCUUUCGCCUGUGACGAAGCGUGAGUGACGGUAAUGGGUAAAGAAGCACCGGCUAACUACGUG
rnacentral:rRNA from 1 species